GCAGGUGGGUUCUCAUGAGAGCAGAGUACAGGGGCAGGAUUGUCUCCUUUAACAUUCUGGUCAUAAUCGUCUUAAUGCAGCCCAGGACACAGGUGGUUUCUGAACUACAAGAGCACAUUACCAGUUCAUGUUGAGCUCGUCAACCGACACCCCCAAGUCCUUCUCAGCUGCUCUCAAUCUUGUCUCCACCCAGCAUUUAUUUGUGCUUAGGACUUCUACCCAUGUUUGUAGCUAUGGCUGCUCUUUCCUGAAAGUACUAUCAGGUUCUUAGAUCUUUUCUUGAGGCUUCAUCAGUCUUUCAUCUUGCCUCUGGUUUAAGAAAGCGGUUUCUACAGGCUUUUGUCUUUUUUUGUUUGUGAUUUCAGACAACCUGACAUCUUUAAAUUUCAUCUAUCUUUUUCAGUUGUACUGGUAUUUAAGGGUCUUUUCUUAAUCUUCCAUUUUUCCUGUGCUGGAAAACAAUCCAACUUGACCCUAUUGCGGUGAUUUUUUACAUGUGCAUAAUGAUGUAUUCAAAAGAUAGUCAAAAAUUCUUAAAUUUUAAGCAGAUGUUUUUUGCAGUCAUUUGCUGCAAAGACCCAAGAGCAGGUGAAGACACUGGGAACCUCUGAGAGGCUGGAAAGAAAUAAUUCUUCAAAACUGCUUUCAGAAAUUCAGCUGCACAAUCCCUCACUGUCUGGCACUCCUUCAGAAAAAAAACAGACUGCAGAUACUGUUUAGCUAUCAAGAUACUUAAUCUCAGAGCCUCAGGAAAACAUAAAAUACUUCCUCAGAAUGGAUUUUCCUAAGACCUUUACAUGGCCCUAGUUCUAACUCGAACAUUUUUGCAAGAUACAGCAGGCUGCAUGCUCUAGCAUUGUAUCUCGUCAGGAAGAGAUUCAAAGAAUGAAAAGCACUGAGAACAGUGAGUUGCUGAGAAAUGGAAGUUCACAAGUUGGUUAUUUCUGUAUGUGUUUUCUUAAUUAUAAUUUCUACAGACAGAAACACUGGAGGAGGGAGCUAUUGAAUCAUGGAGUAAAGGGAGAAGUAAAACAUAGAAGGAAAAGUUUGGGGUAUAACACAACAAUGAAGUCUUAAAACCUGGUGAUGUGAUGCCACUUAAUUCCCACUCCAGACUAACCCCUUCAUUCUACUGGCAAAAGCAGAUAUAUUCCUUGAUGAAACUCCCACCCUCUCCCAGGUCUCUUUUCAGCUGUCGCAGCUCAUCCUGGUUUAUCAUUCAGUUGCCUGUAUGCUUGGACCAGUUAUAUAAGGCAGCAAUAUACAGAUAAUAUGGGAGUUGGUAGACCCCCCCUUUCAGCAGUGAUAUCAUGCAUGUGAGCUUAAACUGAACAUAAAGCAACAGCAGAAAACUCUGGAGGAGAUGGGUUACUGUUUAAAUAAUUUGUCUAUCAAGUACAGUGCUUUAGAGACUCACAGUGUCUGGUUAAAUUCCUAGCUCUAGUGAGAAUCUUAGCAGAGUCUCAACAAGAAUUUCAGUUGAUCCAGGGAUUCAAAGGCAUUGCCUUAAGAGGUUUCAACAUUACCUGAAAAAAGAAAACCCUGCCUGCAUAGAGCUAUACUUGUGUGCAGUCUCAAAGGUGUUCCAGGCAGUAAGUCCAUACCAACAUACAGUCAGGAAUUAAGAAUUUGGUAGAAUUUAUGAGCAAUAAAAAUCAUACAGGAACCAAGUAGAGAGCAGCAUAGGUAGGAACUGCCUGCUAAGAUGACAUUGAUGCCUCUUUUUUUUUUUCCCCCGAUUUAUACCUCUUUAGCUUGAUUUCUAAAACAAGCCAUAGGGUCAUCUUGCUGACUUUUGCCCUGGAUAAGCAUUCUUCGUGUACUGUGAAAGGAAUUCUGCACUGAAGAAGUGUAUAUGUAAAAUAUACCUUUUUACAUAUGUAAAAGGUGCAGAAAAGAAAAUGGGUACGUGCCAGCAGAGAAACACAGUAGGGGAAUUUAUCCUUGUUGCUUCUCGGAAACAAUUGCAAAAUCAAAAAGAAAAGCUGUUCUCUGUUGAGACUCUGCUGCUCAUAGUUUCCAUUGCUGCGUGGUGAAUUGCAGGGGUUUGUGACAGGUUUGUUCAGUGAACUUACCGCACGUGUACUGUUACUCUGUUGAUGGCUGAAGUGACUGAGGUGCCUGAGGCUCUAGUUAGGAAGUGGGUGACACAGGUAGCAGAGACUUCCUCCUCUCUGUGUUGUCAGGAACACUGGGCAUAGAAAUCUUCACUUCUUGUUAGACAUCUUCAGUCAGUCUGGAAUUAGAUCUAUAAAUAAAUUAAA